GUUAUUCACCGUGUUACUAUUACAAUGGGUGUAUAAUGAAGCUCAAGCUCUGCUAGAAGUUAAAUCUCUUCAUCCUGAGCCUCAAGGCCUAUUGGGUGUUGAAUCCUUCACCAUUUUGAUGUUAAUUACUGUGGCCUUCCUUGACUGGCUGUGACCUGCCCCCUUCCUGUCUCUGUUGUAAGACCAGUUAAGGUCUCUGCACCUUGUGUUUUCUUUUAUUCUUGCUCACUUCAUCAUUUCCUUUUCCUAAUAAAACAAUUUCUGCAUUUUCUCAAUGAAGAAGCUUUGAAGAAUCAAACAAAAAUCAAAGGUGGUUGCAUUUUGAGGAAACAUUGGCUCCUGUCACUGAAGAAAAAUUGAAGCAAAUCUGAAAAGAAAUAGGAAGAGACACUUGUCCAGGGAUGUCAACAGGUAUGGUUCUUAAGCACAUAAUGAGUUUGCUAUGAGAUCCUUUGGUUUUAAAAAUAAGGCAUUUAAAAAUAUUUGUGUUCAUUUAACAGGUCACGGGAAUUCUGACAGUAUGAGGAAGUAAUCAGUUGACUGGUCUGCACAUUUGUCAUGGGCAGAAUGAAAGUGGUUAAGAGGAUCGGUUCUGGAUUCAAAAAAUCUGGCUUUAGGCUUUGCUUCACUACCUGCUGUGCAGCCUUAGGCAAAUCACAUCCCCCCUCUGAGCCAGUUUUCCCGUCUGUGAAAUGGGAAUGAGACUGACAGUACCUGUCUCAUAAGAAUGGUUGUGAAAUUAAGAUAAGACAAUGCCUGUCUCUCAGAGCCCUGCAGCAAAGGCAGGCUGAUUCUGCCCCUGGCCUGCCUGCCAGGGGAGCCACCCUUCCCUAGUCAGAGUUGAAAGAAUGCGGAUUAAGGGGGUUUUCACUGGUGUAGUGAGCCAGGGGCCCAGAGGGGCCCACACCCCCAUGGAAACUAGGUUUCUGAGGGUGCAGAGCCUAUGCCCUGGAUCUCCCUGAGGGUCACGGGGCCUUUGUCUCAGCUGCUGCUAUACCCACUGGUCAGGGAUCAGCUGGCCUGGCUGGGCCUUCCACAGGCUCGGAGAACAGAGGCCUGGGUGGGCUUUUCUUGGCUACCCCUGUUUUCUCUUGCUUUACACUUAAAAGCCACUUGUGUGACAUUAAAGCCACAUUAGGAAAUAUAUAUAUUUAAAUCAUAAAAAAAAGACAGUGCAGACCAACCUGAGUGCCAGCCACACAGUAACCAGUUAAUGUGUGUUGCCUGUUACUAAUUUUAUAGCCAUGUUUCCUUAGAAACUGUCCUAUUUUUCUUUCAUUUUCUGUAAUGUUUUUCAGUUCUUAAUAUUGGCUAGCUGUGAUACUGUAUUCAGAAAUAUGAAUCUGAAAUCAAUUACCAGUGCCCUGAGAUUGAAAACAAUUUGACUUAAAAGUGGGAGAAAACAUGUAUGUGUCCUGUAGAAGUAAGACAUUUGUUCUGUGUGAUGGCAUCUUGGUGACACUGACCUGACAGGCAGGCAGGACAGGUUUGGUGAUCUCCAGCAUGAGACCUCACCUUCAUUUCCUCCCCACCACUCCCCCUUCUUUUUUAAUUCCCUUCCCUUUCCAUCUCACUACCAUUUUCUCCUUUGACAGUAGUAGUCUAAGCCUUGAGCAUGCCAAUAAGAAGCAUUUUCACUCCAGGGACAUCCAGAGUAGCUGUUACUGCAAUAGAGAUGACAGCAUUUACUGCAAAUGAGAUGGCACUGAUCUUGCAGGACACACAGCCCUAGAGUUAGUGAGAGUCAUCCAAAUCCUCUGCCUACUGUUCUGCACUUGCUGCAUGGAGGGUGCACUUUAAGGAACAGACCCGAAUAUCAAGAAAGAGAAAACCAGUUUAUUGGAAGACCUCAAAAGACUGAAGCAAGACAAGCAAGCUCUUGAAGCAGGGAAAAAUGAAGACAGAGACCAAGCCAGAGAGCAGGUGCGUGCACCACCAGGAGCACACCAAGCUGGGAUGGUUACUUUAUGCUCAUAACUGUUCUGAACUUGAGUCAAUAAUUGCAAGAUUGAGGAAACUCAAAGAUUAUUUUGAAUUCAUGGCACUGUGUGCACAGUUGUUUGCAGUCCUCCCAGCCAGACGGCAACCUUCCAGGGCCUGGUCUCCCUUUUUAUCCCUGGGCCUGAAAUGUAAGCUCUCAAGUGUUUGACAAAUGAACAGACAACAACAUGCUGUCUUUGUAGAAGACACAGAAGUGAAUAUGGCAUUCCCCACUGGGGAAAACAAAGGAGGAGUUAGAUAAGAAUGCAGAAAAGUUUAAUAUUAAAAAAAUUAGAAAUAAACAGGAGGGUGCUAGUAAGGGUUUCAGGGAGGAGAAGCAUUUGAGCUGGGCCCUGGCAGGUGGAGGGCCUCAGGAGGGGAGGCGGGAGGCCACACAGCUGUCUCAUGGGCGUGUCACUGAGCGCACCUGUCCUGGGCCAGGGCACAGGGCCAGAAAGGUAGGUCAGCGGAGCCCUUGUUUGCCAAAGGAAGUAUCUUUUCUCUGUGAUUUUAUGAUCUUCAGUGUAAGAUAUGUACAAAUAAAAUCCACUAACCUGUUUGUAAGAAAUGUAC